rnacentral:rRNA from 1 species
CAGUCGCCACGGUAAUACGUAGGUGGCAAGCGUUGUCCGGAAUUAUUGGGCGUAAAGCGCACGUAGGCGGAUCGAUCAGUCAGGGGUGAAAUCCCAGAGCUCAACUCUGGAACUGCCUUUGAUACUGUCGAUCUGGAGUAUGGAAGAGGUGAGUGGAAUUCCGAGUGUAGAGGUGAAAUUCGUAGAUAUUCGGAGGAACACCAGUGGCAAAGGCGGCUCACUGGUCCAUUACUGACGCUGAGGUGCGAAAGCGUGGGGAGCAAACAGGAUUAGAUACCCGUGUAGUCCCUGUCUCUUAUAA